UUUUUUUUUUUUUUUUUUGUCUUUUAGCCUUUUCUAGGGCCACUCCCUCGGCAUAUAGAGGUUCCCAGGCUAGGGGUCGAAUUGAAGCUGUAGCCGCCAGCCUACACCAGAGCCACAGCAACGCGAGAUCCCAGCUGCGUCUGCGACCUACACCAUAGCUCAUGGCAAUACCGGAUCCUUAACCCACUGAGCAGGGCCAGGGAUUGAACUUGAAACCUCAUUGAUACUAGUCAGGCUCAUGAUUGCUGAGCUGCAAGAGAGCUCUGCAUACGUAUAUUCGAGAAAAACAGUAACUGGUCCUCAUGUAAGAGGAGCUGACAGAACCAUUUGUCACAGAGUCCUAAUUUUACCGGCUAAUUGGGGUGACCUGUUAGCUAACUGGUUUUAUCCAGAGGAAGAAUCAACUUCUCACCUUUCAAGAGGGAGCUUUGUAGUUGGAGCAAGGCGUCUGCUAAGAUGAGACUCCUGUCCUCACACCAGCUGACCCUCCUUUGUCUGCAGUUUGGACAGAUGGGUUCCACGUUCUUGAGAAAAACAUUCUGAUUCACAAAACUGAAAGGGAAAAAUGACCAGCUGAAAAAAGGCCUGUCUAGUCUUCAACGACAUGCAUGUUAAAGAUAUGAGACAGUUCUCAGAAUUUUUCAAAGAUAAAUGCUCUGAGGGAGAAGGAGGAAGCAUCUGUCCCUAUUUUCAACAGGGAGAAUUAAGCCAUUUUUUAAAUGUGUAUUUGUCGAAUAAUUUGUACAUGAAACACCUACAAACACCAACAGUGUGACUGCUUGGCUGCAUCUGGAGACACGGUAUGACAAGUGUGGGAUGCUCUCAUCCUGCCCCGUGUGACAGGUGCAGGAUUUACAAGAGGGACCAGAGCUCAUCCGGCCCAUCUAGGGGACGGGCUUAGGGGUCACGUUUAGUUUCCGAGGAGGGGCAGGAGCAGUCCUUGUUAGUUGUUGGUCCUCAUGGGCUCGCUUUGUACCUCGCGGGCAGGAGAGGACCAAACCCACCAGCGGGAGCGGCUCAGAGGAAGAGCCUGGGCACAGGGACUGGACAGGGUUGAAGGGGACAGCUUAGUCCCCUUGAGGAAGACCAACAGCCGCACGCGGCAGCAAGAGCCAGCUGUACCCUCCUCUGUCUGCAGUUGGAACGGGCGGCUGUUCCAGGAGACACCUGACACAGGUGCUGUCUGCCUGAGGGGGGGGUGCUGGUGGAGCUGCCGUCCUGUGGUUACCUGGUGGCCGGUCCUCUGCAGAGGGCCUCACAGAAGUGGGAUCCGGGGUCAGGGAGAGGAUGCAAGGGAAGAGGUGAGGGGACUCCCAUCAGUGUAGCCGUCACCUGCUCCCCCUCAGCCACUUGGCAGCUGUGUGCCCCUGUGAAAGUCACGCACCCUCUCUGAGCGGCAGAUCCCUCUUAGAAGUGGAAACACGGUUCCCCUGCCAGACGGCUUUGGGGCUGUGAAGUGAGGUGCCCCUCCGGGGUCACCCCCCAGGAAAAGGUGUUAGAGGUGGAACUGUGUCCCCCAAACUCAAAGACUGAAGCUCGAAUCCCCCGGGACCGUGACUGUCUGUGGAGAGACGGCCUUUAACGCAGUAAAGUGGGUCAUGCGGGUGGUGCUCACCCUCCGGGACUGCUGGCCUUAUGGCGGAGGAAAACAACACAGACUUGGACGGACGGACAGAUGGCCGGCCGUGCACAAGCCUCAGGAGAAGCCACUGUUGACCCUUGGUUCAAACUUCCACGCUCCGAAUCGUGAGGAGGAAACUGGAUUAAAGCACCCACACUGCGGCGCGGGUUUUGGCGACCGGCCGUCUAACAUGGUGGGCCCUCAGCAUCUGGGAGGAGAGGUCUUCAGGGCGCCAGGGAGGCCGUGCAGGACCCUGAGAGCCUGAGGAAAGCAGAGGGAUGGGUUUCCCGGGGUGGAACCAGGCGAGCGAGGAGCUGCCGGAGGCUCGGGGAGGAGGCGGGGAGUCAGGCCCUGCGUGCGGCCCCCAUGGAGGCAGCGGCCUUGGGGAGGCUGCAGUGCUCAGGCCCCAGGGGGCUCCCCCCAGAGCAGCUCUGAUCCCUCCUUGGGGUCCCACGUGUGUUCAGCCAGCAGCUGCCUGCCCAGGGGUCACCCUGAGACGGGCCUGUGAAGGGGUGCGGGUCUCGGAUCUGCCAAUGGUGGCCCGUCUGGGAAACGGGUGUCCUCAGAGCACCCUUUCUUGGUGCCUGGGGCAAUGGGCUGGGGGUGCGCUGUGAGUGGCUCUGGGCACUGCGCCCACACAAGCGAGCCGUCCCCUUAGGAGCGUUUUCCAGGUCCAGGGAAAGAAAUGGGGCUUCUCCCAACCCUGACCCACACCGUCCAUGUAGACGAAGUCCUGCAGGGCACUGAGGGCUGUAGAGCCCAGAGAUGCUGGGCUGCCCGUCUGCAGCGUCCAGACCAUUAGGAGCAGGCGCCAAGGGCUGUGUGUGCCUUUGCAGGUGAGGCCUCGAGUGCACACGUGUCUCUCACACUUACUGUCUCCUAAAUCUACCUCCUGUCCUCUAGCAGGGAAGGCUCCUGCUUCUUACAUCAACUCUCACUGCAACGGGAAUCCUUGCAUUUUUCUUUUUAAAUGGCCUAAUUUCAUCAAGAAUGAUUUGGACUGUCAGUGGCCACUCUGGGGAACAUUUAAUUUGGGGGAAAGAAAAAAAGGUUCAUUUGGGAGGUACCUUAAGAUUUGACAAGCCAAGUGAGUUGUUUCUGUUUGUUCGUUUUUUUUUUUGCUAUGCAAGCCUCCAAAUGAAAUUCUGGAUUAAAAAUUGUUUCACUACAAGAUUCUUU
ensembl:lncRNA